rnacentral:rRNA from 1 species
AACGAACGCUGGCGGCAGGCUUAACACAUGCAAGUCGAGCGCCCCGCAAGGGGAGCGGCAGACGGGUGAGUAACGCGUGGGAAUCUACCCUUUUCUACGGAAUAACGCAGGGAAACUUGUGCUAAUACCGUAUGUGCCCUUCGGGGGAAAGAUUUAUCGGGAAAGGAUGAGCCCGCGUUGGAUUAGCUAGUUGGUGGGGUAAAGGCCUACCAAGGCGACGAUCCAUAGCUGGUCUGAGAGGAUGAUCAGCCACAUUGGGACUGAGACACGGCCCAAACUCCUACGGGAGGCAGCAGUGGGGAAUAUUGGACAAUGGGCGCAAGCCUGAUCCAGCCAUGCCGCGUGAGUGAUGAAGGCCCUAGGGUUGUAAAGCUCUUUCACCGGUGAAGAUAAUGACGGUAACCGGAGAAGAAGCCCCGGCUAACUUCGUGCCAGCAGCCGCAGUAAUAC